GAGUUUGAUCCUGGCUCAGGAUGAACGCUGGCGGCGUGCCUAAUACAUGCAAGUCGAGCGAACAGACGAGGAGCUUGCUCCUCUGACGUUAGCGGCGGACGGGUGAGUAACACGUGGAUAACCUACCUAUAAGACUGGGAUAACUUCGGGAAACCGGAGCUAAUACCGGAUAAUAUAUUGAACCGCAUGGUUCAAUAGUGAAAGACGGUUUUGCUGUCACUUAUAGAUGGAUCCGCGCCGCAUUAGCUAGUUGGUAAGGUAACGGCUUACCAAGGCAACGAUGCGUAGCCGACCUGAGAGGGUGAUCGGCCACACUGGAACUGAGACACGGUCCAGACUCCUACGGGAGGCAGCAGUAGGGAAUCUUCCGCAAUGGGCGAAAGCCUGACGGAGCAACGCCGCGUGAGUGAUGAAGGUCUUCGGAUCGUAAAACUCUGUUAUUAGGAAGAACAAUGUGUAAGUAACUAUGCACGUCUUGACGGUACCUAAUCAGAAAGCCACGGCUAACUACGUGCCAGCCC
rnacentral:rRNA from 1 species